rnacentral:rRNA from 1 species
AGUGAACGCUGGCGGUAGGCCUAACACAUGCAAGUCGAACGGCAGCACAGUAAGAGCUUGCUCUUACGGGUGGCGAGUGGCGGACGGGUGAGGAAUACAUCGGAAUCUACUUUUUCGUGGGGGAUAACGUAGGGAAACUUACGCUAAUACCGCAUACGACCUACGGGUGAAAGCAGGGGAUCUUCGGACCUUGCGCGAUUGAAUGAGCCGAUGUCGGAUUAGCUAGUUGGCGGGGUAAAGGCCCACCAAGGCGACGAUCCGUAGCUGGUCUGAGAGGAUGAUCAGCCACACUGGAACUGAGACACGGUCCAGACUCCUACGGGAGGCAGCAGUGGGGAAUCUUGGACAAUGGGCGAAAGCCUGAUCCAGCCAUACCGCGUGGGUGAAGAAGGCCUUCGGGUUGUAAAGCCCUUUUGUUGGGAAAGAAAAGCAGCAGGUUAAUACCCCGCUGUUCUGACGGUACCCAAAGAAUAAGCACCGGCUAACUUCGUG